rnacentral:rRNA from 1 species
GACGAACGCUGGCGGCGUGCUUAACACAUGCAAGUCGAACGGAAAGGCCCUGCUUUUGUGGGGUGCUCGAGUGGCGAACGGGUGAGUAACACGUGAGUAACCUGCCCUUGACUUUGGGAUACUUCAGGAAACUGGGGCUAAUACCGGAUAGGAGCUCCUGCUGCAUGGUUGGGGUUGGAAAGUUUCGGCGGUUGGGGAUGGACUCGCGGCUUAUCAGCUUGUUGGUGGGGUAGUGGCUUACCAAGGCUUUGACGGGUAGCCGGCCUGAGAGGGUGACCGGCCACAUUGGGACUGAGAUACGGCCCAGACUCCUACGGGAGGCAGCAGUGGGGAAUAUUGCACAAUGGGCGGAAGCCUGAUGCAGCAACGCCGCGUGCGGGAUGACGGCCUUCGGGUUGUAAACCGCUUUCGCCUGUGACGAAGCGUGAGUGACGGUAAUGGGUAAAGAAGCACCGGCUAACUACGUG